GGCUAUCUGAAAUGUAAAAACACAAACGAUUCAUCUUAGUUAAACAUAAACGAUUCAUAUUAAUUAAAUGUAAAGGUAAACUCUCUAAAAAACGAUAAAUGGAGGAUACCAACAACAUGAAAAGCUACUCAUUAAUUAUGAGUUUUAACAUAACACUUUCUUUCACGCAAGCUAGACAAACAAUCUUAUUUUUGAAAAAAAAAAUGACAACUUCAAAGCAUAAUCCACCAUUUCUAACGUCUCAUCUCCUUCUCAGGGCUAGUUUUUUAUAAUACUGAAAAGGAAGAGGAAGAAAAGAAAGUAAAAAUAAUGUUAGAAAAGUAAAUGAAGGAGUAAAAUUAACAUGAAUAAUGAUAUAAAAAAAGAAAGAAAUCUCACUUCUCGCAAUCGAAGUCCUUGGAGAUGGGAUAAUUCACAUUAAUAUUACAAACUUUAGGAAGGUUN
rnacentral:lncRNA from 1 species